UAUUCAUCACUCAAAACUAAGAUCAAAUGUCACUUCCUUUAUAAACUAUUUCCUGAAUCCCUAAUCAGGGGCUUGCCUGUGCUGAAUGCUGGCCAUGGACAUGCGCUUCUCAUCACCCAGGAGACGGCAGGGGUGAAUCUGCUCACCAGGGAAACACACCUUUCCCAGUUGCUGUGCUUGGAGCUCAGGAAUUUGAGACCAGGUGGCCAGAAGCAUCUGACGGAUAUAAACAAAUCUUUGAGUUUCAUUUUGGUUGAAGAUUUUGCUCCUUCAUUUGGUUAGAAAUUAUCGUUCCUACAGGCUAAACCAAAGGAUGCCUGUAUUCCUUUUGAUGAAAACAGCAUCCAAGUGUUUUACUGGGUGAUGACUGCAGUGCUGUAGAAUCCACUAGUUUAGCAUCGUUCCCCGAACUAAUGCAGCCCAGAUUGGAGUUUCCGGAGUAAAGUGCAAGAAUAAUUUUAAACAUAGAAGAACUCUGCAUAUGGGACACUUCGGUGGCUCAGCCAGUUAAGCAUCCGCCUUCGGCUCAGGUUA